GGUUGCUCAGCGCGCAGAGCCAAAUCUAAAUCCAUGUAGCCCAAAAUAAACAUUAUCUGUUUUUUCCACUUCGAAUAAUUAGAACCAUUACGUAUAGGAACAGAUUCACCAAUAGGAACAGAAAAUGGAGUCAUAGCUACAAAAAAAAAUGCACGUUUUAUCAAUACCACAUCAAAAUUACCACACCAAAAAUAGAAAAAUACACUUUAUAUGACAUCACAACCCCUUCUUUGGGAGCAGAGUUAUGAGCAUAAGUAUUUUUCGUUCCUUAUGCAUAUACUUUAUAUGACAUUACAACCCCUCCUUUGGGAGCAGAGUUAUGAGCAUAAACAUGCAAUCAUUCCUUAUGCAUAUACUUUAUAUGACAUCACAACCUCUCCUUUAGGAGCAGAGUUCUGAGCAUAAACAUGCAAUCAUUCCUUAUGCAUAUACUUUAUAUGACAUCACAACCCUUCCUUUGGGAGCAGAGUUAUGAGCAUAAAUAUGCAAUCUCUUUAUCAGAGACUAAUUUAAACCUUUUUGUAGGUCUUGAUAAUUUCAAAUUUCUCAUAUGAAAAAAUCGUCAGCUUUGGCCAGACAAAUUUCUCCAAACGAGUUAUAAAAGAAUUACCAUCCUA
rnacentral:lncRNA from 1 species